UACGUAGGGGGCAAGCGUUAUCCGGAUUUACUGGGUGUAAAGGGAGCGUAGACGGUUCGAUAAGUCUGGUGUGAAAGCCCGGGGCUCAACCCCGGGACUGCAUUGGAAACUGUCGAACUAGAGUGCAGGAGAGGUAAGUGGAAUUCCUAGUGUAGCGGUGAAAUGCGUAGAUAUUAGGAGGAACACCAGUGGCGAAGGCGACUUACUGGACUGUUACUGACGUUGAGGAUCGAAAGCGUGGGGAGCAAACAGG
rnacentral:rRNA from 1 species